AGUACGGUCGCAAGAUUAAAACUCAAAUGAAUUGACGGGGGCCCGCACAAGCGGUGGAGCAUGUGGUUUAAUUCGAUGCAACGCGAAGAACCUUACCUACUCUUGACAUCCAGAGAAGCCAGCGGAGACGCAGGUGUGCCUUCGGGAACUCUGAGACAGGUGCUGCAUGGCUGUCGUCAGCUCGUGUUGUGAAAUGUUGGGUUAAGUCCCGCAACGAGCGCAACCCUUAUCCUUGUUUGCCAGCGAGUAAUGUCGGGAACUCCAGGGAGACUGCCGGUGAUAAACCGGAGGAAGGUGGGGACGACGUCAAGUCAUCAUGGCCCUUACGAGUAGGGCUACACACGUGCUACAAUGGCGCAUACAGAGGGCAGCAAGCUAGCGAUAGUGAGCGAAUCCCAAAAAGUGCGUCGUAGUCCGGAUUGGAGUCUGCAACUCGACUCCAUGAAGUCGGAAUCGCUAGUAAUCGUGAAUCAGAAUGUCACGGUGAAUACGUUCCCGGGCCUUGUACACACCGCCCGUCACACCAUGGGAGUGGGCUGCAAAAGAAGUGGG
rnacentral:rRNA from 1 species